AUGAACGCUAGCUACAGGCUUAACACAUGCAAGUCGAGGGGCAGCAUGGUCUUAGCUUGCUAAGGCCGAUGGCGACCGGCGCACGGGUGAGUAACACGUAUCCAACCUGCCGUCUACUCUUGGACAGCCUUCUGAAAGGAAGAUUAAUACAAGAUGGCAUCAUGAGUCCGCAUGUUCACAUGAUUAAAGGUAUUCCGGUAGACGAUGGGGAUGCGUUCCAUUAGAUAGUAGGCGGGGUAACGGCCCACCUAGUCUUCGAUGGAUAGGGGUUCUGAGAGGAAGGUCCCCCACAUUGGAACUGAGACACGGUCCAAACUCCUACGGGAGGCAGCAGUGAGGAAUAUUGGUCAAUGGGCGAGAGCCUGAACCAGCCAAGUAGCGUGAAGGAUGACUGCCCUAUGGGUUGUAAACUUCUUUUAUAAAGGAAUAAAGUCGGGUAUGCAUACCCGUUUGCAUGUACUUUAUGAAUAAGGAUCGGCUAACUCCGUGCCAGCAGCCGCGGUAAUACGGAGGAUCCGAGCGUUAUCCGGAUUUAUUGGGUUUAAAGGGAGCGUAGAUGGAUGUUUAAGUCAGUUGUGAAAGUUUGCGGCUCAACCGUAAAAUUGCAGUUGAUACUGGAUAUCUUGAGUGCAGUUGAGGCAGGCGGAAUUCGUGGUGUAGCGGUGAAAUGCUUAGAUAUCACGAAGAACUCCGAUUGCGAAGGCAGCCUGCUAAGUUGCAACUGACAUUGAGGCUCGAAAGUGUGGGUAUCAAACAGGAUUAGAUACCCUGGUAGUCCACACGGUAAACGAUGAAUACUCGCUGUUUGCGAUAUACUGCAAGCGGCCAAGCGAAAGCGUUAAGUAUUCCACCUGGGGAGUAAGCCGGCAACGGGGAAACUCAAAGGAAUUGACGGGGGCCCGCACAAGCGGAGGAACAUGUAGUUUAAUUGGAUGAUACGCGAGGAACCUUACCCGGGCUUAAAUUGCAGAUGAAUUACGGUGAAAGCCGUAAGCCGCAAGGCAUCUGUGAAGGUGCUGCAUGGUUGUCGUCAGCUCGUGCCGUGAGGUGUCGGCUUAAGUGCCAUAACGAGCGCAACCCUUGUUGUCAGGUACUAACAGGUUCCGCUGAGGACUCUGACAAGACUGCCAUCGUAAGAUGUGAGGAAGGUGGGGAUGACGUCAAAUCAGCACGGCCCUUACGUCCGGGGCUACACACGUGUUACAAUGGGGGGUACAGAGGGCCGCUACCACGCGAGUGGAUGCCAAUCCCCAAAACCUCUCUCAGUUCGGACUGGAGUCUGCAACCCGACUCCACGAAGCUGGAUUCGCUAGUAAUCGCGCAUCAGCCACGGCGCGGUGAAUACGUUCCCGGGCCUUGUACACACCGCCCGUUAAGCCAUGGGAGCCGGGGGUACCUGAAGUGCGUAACCGCGAGGAGCGCCCUAGGGUAAAACUGGUGACUGGGGCU
rnacentral:rRNA from 1 species